rnacentral:rRNA from 1 species
UACGGGGGGAGCAAGCGUUGUUCGGAUUUACUGGGCGUAAAGGGCGCGUAGGCGGCGUGACAAGUCACUUGUGAAAUCUCCGGGCUUAACUCGGAACGGUCAAGUGAUACUGUCGGACUAGAGUACAGAAGGGGCAACUGGAAUUCUCGGUGUAGCGGUGAAAUGCGUAGAUAUCGAGAGGAACACCUGCGGCGAAGGCGGGUUGCUGGGCUGAUACUGACGCUGAGGCGCGAAAGCCAGGGAGCGAACGGG